GACGAACGCUGGCGGCGUGCUUAACACAUGCAAGUCGAACGGAAAGGCCCUGCUUUUGUGGGGUGCUCGAGUGGCGAACGGGUGAGUAACACGUGAGUAACCUGCCCUUGACUGUGGGGUAACUUCAGGAAACUGGGGCUAAUACCGGAUAGGAGCUCCUGCUGCAUGGUGGGGGUUGGAAAGUGUCGGCGGUUUGGGAUGGACUGGCGGCUUAUCAGCUUGUUGGUGGGGUAGUGGCUUACCAAGGCUUUGACGGGUAGCCGACCUGAGAGGGUAAACGGGCACAAUGGGACUGAGAGACGGACCAGACUGGUACGGGAGGCAGUGGUGGGGAGUAUUACACAGUGGGCCCACGCGUGAUACGAAAACGCCGGGUGCGGGAUGCCGGCCUUCCGGUUAUAAACCGCUUUCUCCUGUGACGAGGCGUGAGUGACGGUAAUGGGUCAAGAAGCACCGGCUAACUACGUG
rnacentral:rRNA from 1 species